AACAAUAAAAUUGUUCAACCAAAAAAAAAUGAAUAGGGGCUUGCUCAAGCCCAACCCAUAUUUUACUGAUGAAGCCCAAUUUGUUCCCAACCCACUUUGGUGCUUGCCUGCAACUUCGGCGCUAUAAGUAUAUGAUAAAUUCGGUGGGCUAGGCGGAUGCUAAGUCCCGCUAGGCGUUUUUAGAACCGUGGUAAUAGUCGGGUAUGGGCCGGGGCCCCAAAACGAAUCUGUGAGCCAUUAGAAAUUGGCGCGAAAAUCAAUUCAGUCUCAAAUCUAGGGUUUCGCUGAUAUUGAAAACCCCCAAUCAUUUCAGGGCUUUCAUCUUUUUCUGCAAAUUUCAAAGGGCUUUUGCUUGACUAGGGAUGGCCUCACCACCAAGUCCAAAACGCAGGCGCAAGGACGAUGAUACAAAUGAAACGGCGGCAAAUUCGCCGGAGGAAUCAUCCCCUCUGGUAGUCUUUGCUCACGCCGCUGGUGCUCCCUCGUCUUCUGAUUGGAUAAUCAGGUCACUCUUAUCUCCAUCUUCUCUUGUUACCAUAAAUGAGAGGAAGAACAAGCAAAUGAAAUGUACAAUGUUUUGAGUUUUCUCUUUCAUCUCUGCGCAUGUUUGUUUUCUCUUUUGAGCAUACACAUGGGAUUUUCUCCAUCUUGUGGUAACUAGGAGAACAUCAUGAAGCUUAUUCAUUCAAGGGUAUAGAGAAACCGAAUUAUCUCGUAAUGAGGAAAAACCGAUGAAACAGUCCUAUGUAAACCAAACAAGACAUUACUACUCACUCAAUGGUUCAAAUAGUUUUCCAAGCUUGAUCAGUCCUAUUUAAACCAAACAAGACAAUAGUAUUCAGUAUUUACACGGUGGGUUCAAAUAGUUUCCAACUUUGAUCCUAGUACCCAUGACAAGUUUUUCCAAGAACAUUAAUCUAGAUUACAAAAUAGGAACUAGUACUUCCAUAGUCUCUUACAACUUUAAACACAAGUUCACAAUAACUACAUAUGAAAAUACAAGAAACACCAGAGGAUAUCUGCAAUGAAAAAAGAAAAAAAAAACUAAUACACCAGUCAAGAUGUAUGCAGGGGUGGAUCCAGCUUAGGGCCUGGUGGGGCUCAAGCCCAACCAAGGAUUUUUGGGUCAAAAAAAAAAAAAAUGUGUGUACAAUUUUUUUUGUGUGUGAUAUAUACCCAAGCCCAACUAAUGUUUUUUUUGUGAUAUACACUCACCCUAAUCCUAAAUCAUUUGAUUCUUUCUCUGUUAGUUGACGGCGAUGCCCAUCUCAUCUCAGCAUCUCUUCUCUCAUUCUCUCUUCCUCUCACUAUCUGACUGUCUCACAUCGACUCGCCUCCGACGGUCCCCCAACAUCUCUUCGCCUCCGGCGGUCAGGCACUCCGGCAGCAUCUCUUGAUUCUCUUCUCUUAGUCAACACUCAUCUCAGCAUCUCUUCUCCCAGUCCCUCCGGCGGCAUCUCUUCUCUCCGUCCCUCCGGCAGCAUCUCUUCCACCUCCGGGUGGUCCAGCACUCCGGCAGCAUCUCUUGAUUCUCUUCUCUUAGUCGACGCCCAUCUCAGCAUCUCUUCUCUCAGUCUCUCUAGUCAUUCUUUCUCCCUCUCACAACGACUCGCCUUCGGCCUCUCCAAUCUCCAUUCUUCAAUUUCUCAGUCCCUAUCAUCUCCAAUCUACAUGAUUGUAAGUGAGAUUAUUGAAUUUCAUAUGUAAAUUUCUUUGGUGUACUGUAUACAAUUUUCCCCAAUUUCUCAGCUGAGAUAUUUUAGUGUACCGUCGAGAUUCUCCACUUUUUUUUUUUUCUUGGUUAGAAAGUUCAAGCUCAACCAGGGUUGAAAUCCUGGAUCCGCCACUGGAUGUAUGUACUAUAAGUCUGCAGCAAAAAUGAACAAAUUACAUCCUCCAAUAUUGCAAAUGUGCCUUCCUGUUGAUGCUUCAAAUAAAGACGGCUAAAUUGGAAAAUGCACUAUUGCCCAAAUUAAAGCCAAAUUGGGAAGAAGCAUAAAUUGUAUGAACUAAAAUUUUCCAGGUGAAAUUAAACCAUUGUUGCAUCAAUCGUUCAAUAGUCACCUUACCUUCUCUUUCCCUCAGUAAGAAAUCGCAUUGUCCAUAUCAAGUAAGAGGAGGCUCUCUUCAUAAGAAUUGGCAGUGUUAUAACUGUAUCCACAUAUGCCAAGACAUUCCAAUUGCUGGCUAGCAAGGUCCAUUGAGAAUAGUUCAUACCCACGACAAGAAGAAUGCCUGGAACAUGAGUCUUUAGUCUUUUUGGACACUACCACACCACCUCUUUUCCUAAAACAUAAUGCUCCGGGGAGUCAUAUGGAUGGUCAAGUCUUAUCAAGUUGGUCCAAGAAUCAUGGAUGCCAUAUUCUUUCAUUUCCCAAAUUUCGAGAUAAGAAUCGACAGGAGCACAAAACAUGGCAAUUAAACCAAUGGAUUUUCUGUCUACUGGAACAGACAAUUGCAAUUUCAUUGGCAGAUCAUACACGAAUCUCCUUGGCAUCUUCAUCUCAGAAAAUGAGUUGCUGCCGAGGUCAAAUGCCACAAUAACAUAGUGAUAUUAAUCAUCAAUCCACCUCAAGGCGUGCCAGUGAAUAGCCCCAUUACAUAAACCUGGGGUGCGUCUUUUCUGAUUCGAAAAUCAUGAGUAACAUCAGUAACCGUGCUCCAAGCCCCUGUGGCUAGUGAAUAAACCUCAACUAAAGUUUAACAUCUGGGAAACUUCCUCUGAAAUUCAAAUGGCCUGCACUUGAGCUCAUCAACAGUGGCAAGCCUCACAACCUUAUAGUCAUUGGUCGUAGCAUCAAAACCGAAACCAAUAGAAGCUAUAUCGUAAGGUCUAAUAGUAGGCUCAGGAAGGGUCACAGACUUCCUUACAGACGGGUUCAAUACCACAAGUUUGUAGCCUCCAUGCCAUUCAUCAUUUGUGAGGCAAACCAGGCCAUUUCAAGUGCCCACCACACGGAAGCAUUCAUUUCCCCUACCCAUCUCACCAAGAGUUGUAAUUUCAAUCUUGCAGUACUCUUCAAAACUAGGGUCAUCAAAAUGCAAAGAGUAAAACUCCUCAACUUCACCUCCAGACGAACCGAGCAAUAACACAAGCCCGGGUCUUAUCAUUGAUCUCCAUGAUUUGCGCACGGCGGUGCAGAUGAGCAAACACCUAACGGGUAGUCUCAACAAGAUAUCAUGACUGAUUGCCGGAGGCAAAGAGUCCAGCAUCGCUUCACUGCAAUUUCCCAAAACAUACAGAGUAACAAACAUAUAGUCUCUACUUUCAUUCUUGUUUUAAUUUCAGUUUACAGUUCUUGGUAUAUGCAAUUGAUCAAAAAGCAUUCAAACACUAGCAACGUCACUCAAAAUCACAUAGCACAUACUCUCAAGUACUGCUUAAAAAAAAAAUUCAGUUCAGUUGAAAGAGAGAGAUAGAGAGAGAGACUCACCAGUGACGAGAGAGAGAGAGCGUCUCCGAAGAACCCACUCUUCUUCGUCUGUAGAUGUCAAACCGUUGUGGAGGUAAUGGAGCAGAGGAGGACGCUAUUUAUAAGCUCAAAGGUAGAAGUGUACUCCUGAGUCUAAGCAGAAAUGAUGGGUUAAAGUUAAACCAAACUUAAAAUGGCUAAUCUUCCCAGUAAAACUAUAUAUUUGGGUAAAACUGUAAAAUAUAGGGAUAAUUUUUAGCGAAAGACGGGAUCUUUGGGCUAUGCAAAAUGAAGCCCACGAAAAAUGGAUGAUUUUUGAGAUUGAGUUGAAGCAAUUAAUGGAAAAUUUGGUGGAAAAAUCUCAGUUAUCUUGUCUAUCAACUAGUUUCAAGAGGGUUGUAUAAUGGGUUCAUCGACUGAUGCAUUAUUGACUCUAACACCAAUGCCUUCACAAGCAAACCUUCAAAACCA
rnacentral:lncRNA from 1 species